AGCUGUCCUAAUUAGGGUGGGUAAUCGAAUACUGAAAAUUAUAGCCCUCUUAGAAUGAUCAUAUUAUUUAUCAUUUUUUUCAGUAUUCGAUUACCCACCCUAAUUAGAACAGCU